UACGUAGGGUGCGAGCGUUGUCCGGAAUUAUUGGGCGUAAAGAGCUCGUAGGCGGUUUGUUGCGUCUAUCGUGAAAACCUGCAGCUUAACUGUGGGCUUGCGGUGGAUACGGGCAGACUUGAGUUCGGUAGGGGAGACUGGAAUUCCUGGUGUAGCGGUGAAAUGCGCAGAUAUCAGGAGGAACACCGGUAGCGAAGGCGGGUCUCUGGGCCGAUACUGACGCUGAGGAGCGAAAGCGUGGGGAGCGAACAGG
rnacentral:rRNA from 1 species